AGCUGCAGAAAACACAUUAGCUCAGUUGGUUAGUAUGGUGCUGAUAAUGCCAAGGUCGCAGGUUCAAUCCCCACAUGGGCCA